GAUGAACGCUCGCGAUAGGCUUAACACAUGCAAGUCGAGGGGCAGCACAAGGUAGCUUGCUAUCUGGGUGGCGACCGGCGCACGGGUGCGUAACGCGUAUGCAACUUGCCCUAUACAGGAGGAUAACCCGUCGAAAGACGGACUAAUACUGCGUAUGCUCACAACUUGGCAUCAAGUGGUGAGGAAAGAAAUUCGGUAUAGGAUAGGCAUGCGUCCCAUUAGCUUGUUGGUGAGGUAACGGCUCACCAAGGCAACGAUGGGUAGGGGAACUGAGAGGUUUAUCCCCCACACUGGUACUGAGACACGGACCAGACUCCUACGGGAGGCAGCAGUGAGGAAUAUUGGUCAAUGGGCGCGAGCCUGAACCAGCCAAGUCGCGUGAAGGAUGACUGUCUUAUGGAUUGUAAACUUCUUUUAUACGGGAAUAACAAGAGUCACGUGUGACUCCCUGCAUGUACCGGAUGAAUAAGCAUCGGCUAACUCCGUG
rnacentral:rRNA from 1 species